CUGGGGUUAGCCAGCAAGGCAGGCUCCAGAGCCCAAAUCCUCCUCCAGCUUAGCUCCCUGCAGCAGGACUCACUGAAACCAAACUAAACGGAGGCCCCUGUGAACACGACUGCAAAAGAGAUCCAGGCUCGUCCCCUUCCAGAAGAUGGGGCGAGUAUGCCUGAGGUCCCGUGCAGUGCCCUCCCUCGCGCAAGAACGGGCAGCUUUUCCGGGAGCCUCUUGGGGCCGCGAGGAGAGGGAAAGGGAGCUGCUCCCCGCCCUGCUCGAAAAGGGCAGAGCCCCAGGAGGUGGAAGGAGACCAGCGGGGCCUGCGGCCCGGCCCGGCCGCAGUCAAAAGGGGGCGCCCGGCCAGGCCCCCACCCCGCGCCCGCCUUGCCCCACUCCGCGCACGGGAAAUCCCCCGACAGCUCCCGGCCGGGGAUAAAAGCCCCGGCGGACAGCGAGGCUGCACCCACGGCUCCCGUCGCGCCUCCCCCGCCAGCGCUAGCCAUGAGCCCGCACCUCUCCCUCCUCCUCCUCCUCCUGGCCGCCUGCGCCGCGCUCUGCUGGGGGGCGCCGCUGGCCGGGGAGCUGCGCUGCCGCUGCGUGCACACCGUGACC